GAGUUUGAUCAUGGCUCAGGAUGAACGCUAGCGGCAGGCCUAAUACAUGCAAGACGAACGGUAAGUUGUGUAGCAAUACAUAACCUAGAGUGUCGUAAGGGUGCGUAACACGUAUGCAAUCUGCCCGGAACUGGAGGAUAGCUCGCCGAAAGGCGAAUUAACACUCCAUAGGAUGGUAGGGAGGCAGUCUCCUAGUCAUUAAAACUACGGUGGUUUCGGAUGAGCAUGCGGAUGAUUAGCUAGUUGGUGAGGUAACGGCUCACCAAGGCGAUGAUCAAUAGGGGAACUGAGAGGUUGAUCCCCCACACUGGCACUGAGAUACGGGCCAGACUCCUACGGGAGGCAGCAGUAGGGAAUAUU
rnacentral:rRNA from 1 species